GUCCCUGUGCCCACCCACCCCAUUCCCCCCUUCCCAUGGGACCGACCCCCUCUCCCCGCAGCCCAGGGGGGCGAGCAGACCAUCCCCAUGGUACCAGAAUACCCACCCCGCGGGUGGGAACGCCGCGCUCCUCCCCGGCUUUUAAUCCCGCUGCUCCGGCACCGCAUCGCCACGAAAAUAAGGGGCGAGAUCGGGGAUGGCAGCGGUCGGAGGGCUUGCGGUAGACAUCAGCCCCUGAAUGAAACCCCCUGCCCCAUCCCGACUGGGACAACUGGGGAACACUGGGGUCCCAGAGGGGCUCCCCGUGCCUGCCCAGGCGGAUCGUGGGUGAUUUGCCUCCCCCCCGCCUUGUGCUGCCGUCAGGAGUUUUUUGGGACUGCCGGGGACAGCAGCCACGCGCUCCAUCCCGCCGCCGUCGCUGCAAGGAGAAAGCAACCUGGGGAAGGAGACGACAAAGUGCCACAAGGCUAAUUUUCUGGUCGCUGCCUGACUCCAAGGCAGGGAGGAGAAGC
rnacentral:lncRNA from 1 species